rnacentral:rRNA from 1 species
CAGCAGCCGCGGUAAUACAGAGGGUGCAAGCGUUAAUCGGAAUUACUGGGCGUAAAGCGCGCGUAGGUGGUUUGUUAAGUUGGAUGUGAAAUCCCCGGGCUCAACCUGGGAACUGCAUUCAAAACUGACUGACUAGAGUAUGGUAGAGGGUGGUGGAAUUUCCUGUGUAGCGGUGAAAUGCGUGGAUAUAGGAAGGAACACCAGUGGCGAAGGCGACCACCUGGACUAAUACUGACACUGAGGUGCGAAAGCGUGGGGAGCAAACAGGAUUAGAUACCCCUGUAGUCCCUGUCUCUUAUAC